rfam:Glycine max cultivar Williams 82 chromosome 17, whole genome shotgun sequence.
AUGUUAACGUAUGAUAUGUUAACAUCGGUUUUCCAAAAAACCGAUGUUAACGUAUGAUAUGUUAACAU